AUGAACACCGCGAUCCGCUCGCUGACGACGUUCACGGGCUGCGUCGCCGCGCCGGCGAUAGCGACGAUGAGACUGGACGCGGCGCGCGCUGAGCAGCUCCACCAUGGCGAUCUUGCGGAGCUGCCGCCACAGCGCGCCCCCCAAUCAGCCCCCAACCCGUCGGCCAUCAAGACCCGGACGGUGGAGCUCCACGGCCGCGUCGCGAACUUGACGUCGUGCGUCUCGGUGAACUCCCUGCAGGCGGCGUCGGUGGACGAGGCGACGACGCGCGACGCGGAGUUCGCCGAUUGAGCCUGAGCGA
rnacentral:lncRNA from 1 species